CUGUGGAACAGCAAAUAUUGCAGAACAGAAAAUACUGCUGCCUGAUCCUUCCUCUGGAAACUUCGUCCUAGAGUGGCACCCACCUACAUGAGAUGUGCUGUUCUUGACGUCCUUACUUCUGUCCUCAGAAUCAUAUCUUCGCAUCUGAAAGAAGGCAACAGCAUUGAGCAACAAUCUGGGACUCUAUUUGAUAUCUUCCCUUGAGAAGUGUUAAAUGUUGCCAUAAUCUUGACAGUUCAAAAGUUAGUCAUGUGGUUGAUAUUUUACCAAUGAGAUGAAUGUGACUGUAAUAUGGGCAAAUCCCACCUACCAUAAAAGCUGGCAAUACUUGCCUAAUAUUGAAGGAAGGAGACAUUUAGAGCAAGCCAGGAAGCUGGAACACCGGAUCAGGAACAGACACUUCUCCGCAAGUUUAGAGUUUGGUAUUUCUCAAGUCCUGGCCUGAGGGAUGUUUACUCUCAGGUUAUACAAAGUCCCAGCUUGGGUUCUGGAAAAAUUGAACUGACAACUUUGCCUGAAAGAAGUUUCUUGCUAACUCCUAGGAAAGAAGGUGAGAAUGAGGCCACUGACGUCAUCUUGGCUUGGUUUACUUAAGCCUGGGCAAAGAGGGAAAAGGGCA
rnacentral:lncRNA from 1 species